rnacentral:rRNA from 1 species
GCGGGACUGAUCAGCCAUGCCGCGUGCAGGAUGACGGCCCUAUGGGUUGUAAACUGCUUUUAUACGGGAAGAAACGCGCCCACGUGUGGGCGUUUGACGGUACCGUAAGAAUAAGGACCGGCUAACUCCGUGCCAGCAGCCGCGGUAAUACGGAGGGUCCGAGCGUUAUCCGGAAUCAUUGGGUUUAAAGGGUCCGUAGGCGGGCCUGUAAGUCAGGGGUGAAAGUUUGUGGCUCAACCAUAAAAUUGCCUUUGAUACUGCAGGUCUUGAGUCAUGGUGGGGUUGCCGGAACAUGUGGUGUAGCGGUGAAAUGCAUAGAUAUCACAUAGAACACCGAUCGCGAAGGCAGGUGACCAACCAUGUACUGACGCUGAUGGACGAAAGCGUGGGUAGCGAACGGGAUUAGAUACCCCGGUAGU